rnacentral:lncRNA from 1 species
AACAAUUGUAUUAUUACAUAUUAUUUUUAUUCUUACAUGAUUAUUUCCUCACAAUACUAAUUUACUCAGUUUGCAAUCCGAGGGAUUACACUAGGAGUAGUAUUAUCUAAAGAUGAUGAUUCAAUACACAACAUCUACCGCGAAUACAUUGCCCUUUUUUUCCAGGACAUCCAGGUUGACAAUCCAUCUGAUUUACAAGGUCCGUCAAGUUCUCUUCCUUCUGAUUUCUUACACAUAUCUGCAAGCAAUAUUUCUUCAAAACAUAAAAUAAUAUCGUAUGUAAACAAAGAAUAAUUCAAAAUGUAAAUUUGUUAGAAGUUAAACAUCCUUUUAGAAGCAGGUGAUUUAUUCAUUUUAUCAUUAGUUCCAAACCUGAUGUUAAGAUGCAGAAAGCAAAAGUAUAUCAUUAUAAGAGCAGACAUUUUGUAGUAUCCAUCUUUUUAAUAUAACAUAUGAUAUGACACAUAUAUCUGUUACUUAUAUAUGCAUAUGGUGGACUACAUUCUGACUGUAUUAUUACUUCAAAUUGAUUUCUUAAUUCAAAAGUAAAUUCAAUUCUAUGUAAGAUAAGAAAAAUAUACAUUUUUUGACCAAUAUAAAAUAUACCUUAAAAAUUGCAAUAAAUAUAUUAUAUUUAAUCAAUUUAAAGAAUAAACUAAUAAUAAAUAUUCUUAAUUAAAAUAUAAAUAACAAGUUCAAUGUAACUUUUGUUAAUCAUAUAUCACUUUUAAAAAAUAUUGAGAAGGAUAAAGAAAGUUUAUUAGCGGGAGAAAAGCUCAACUUGAUUGGGUUAGUUGAAUACAAGAUAUGGAGUUUAGGGUUCAAGCCUUCAUUAAAGCAUUUGUUAGUAUUUCAUAUAAAGUGUUAACGAAACAAGAUGUCAAUAUUCAUGAAUUAAAUAUUUUUUAUAAAAAUAAAUGAUAAUUUAUAUUAUUCAGUGACAUAAACGGCCAUUUUACAAAUAUUUCUGUUAAUUUGAAAUGUGAGACCUUAAAAUUACAAGAAUAAAACUCUUACGGCUGAAGUAGAAAAUAAACAUUAGAUUGACCUCUUUAUUUCAAGAGAUUAAUUACUAUACACUAUCAGUGUAAAAAGUUUUACACCGUCGAUUCUUCACCAUCAUCCGUUUGUAUUAUUUUAUAGAUUUUUAAAAUAAAUCAGUCUUCUUUUAAUAUCCGACGUCUAUGAUUAACUGACGUGUUAAAAUCCUUUUACAGUGUCAGUAUAUUUCAAUUAAACUCUUAUUUCAAUUAUGAUUUCAUAGAUUUUUUAAAAUGAUAGUAUUUAGUUUUAAAAUUUUGACUUAAUUUUUUACAGGAUAAUUGUAAAAUACUUAUAGGUUUCAUUAAAUUAAUUAUCUUGUUCGUUAAUAUAGGUUCUUGAUUAACAAAUUGCAGGAUUUAGAUCUUUGAUAGAAGUAAAUUUGUUAUUAUAUUUAUUGAUAAUAAUAUUUUUAACAUAUGAUAAAUAUAAUAACUUUUGAACUUUUCCUAUUUUUUCAUUAUAAAGUUAGUUAUUGUUUUAUUUCAAAAAUAAUAUAAAUUUUUAUUAGCACAUGAAUAUUUGUUGUUUUAUUUUUGAAAGACAUUAUUUUUAUUGUUGUUAUAUUUAACUUUUUUUAAGCAGACGGAAAGGCAAAGUGAUCUUCAACAACCUAACUAGAUUAAAAUAAAGAAGAAAAGUACAAAAAUUGAGAGACAUAAAACUAAAUCAAUUUUAAUAAAAAAUAAACAACUAAAAUGGGUUUUAUAAAACAUGUUAAAAUAGUAAUUAAACAUAAAUUUUAAUCAAGAGAUAUCAGUCGUGCACAACUUAUAUUAACCUAACAAAUUAGAAUUCGGAGCAACCCAACUUCCAAAAUUGAAUGACGAACUUUUGUUGUUGUUGUUGUUGUUAUCUUUAACUUAUUUUUAAGCAAGCGGAAGGUAGAGUGAUCUUCGACAAAAUACGUUAUACGAGAUAUUAAUUUGGUACUGAUACAACACAAGUGCCUAGCGAUAUCAUUAUAUGUAUGUCACAUAAACUAAAAAAAGGCAGUAAGGCACAUACCAUACAAUGGUGCCUAAAUAAAAAUUAAAAUCUAUAUGCAACAUCUUCAUGUGCUCACAAUCCACAUCGGAGAAUCACAUAACUCCCAAUCUUUGAAACAUCAAGAAACAAUCAUGCAUAACUUGUACAAACCAAUAAAUUAGAAUUGAGGCGCAAAAUUUAAUUACCAAAAAAUUAGAUUUUUUAGCUGAAUAGCACGAGACUCUGAACUUUUAGUGUUUCUAUUGAACUCGGUUGUAAAUACAAUAAAGAAUCAUGACACCCAGUUGAAACUAUUUAAAACCAGUUUUUCAUUUAAAAUUAUAUAAAAAAAUCAUGAAUUUUUAGACUUACUCGUCUUGCUCAAUUAUUAUCUAUUUGUAUUAUAGCAUAUUUCCAUGGGUGUUCUAUAUAUGGAUCCAUAUUGUAAUUAUUUCACUAUUAUAUAUUAUAGAAUCUAAAUAUGGUAAAUAUUUUUUAAUAUCUUUAAUAAUGUAUUGAAAUUCAUAUAAUAAAAAUAAUAAUAUAAAUAUUUUUUUCAAAAUGAAAAGAAACAAAAAAGAUAAAUAAAUUGAAAAAUAAUUAUCCAACUUUUAUAAGAUUAUAUUUUAUUUUAGAAAAUAUUUCCUUUUAAACAAUUGUAUUUAUACAUAUUAUUUUUAUUCUUACAUGAUUAUUUCCUCACAAUACUAAUUACUCAGUUUGCAAUCCGAGGGAUUACACUAGGAGUAGUAUUAUCUAAAGAUGAUGAUUCAAUACACCAACAAUCUUACCGCGAAUACAUUGCCUUUUUUUUCCAGGACACCAGGUUGACAAUCUCCAUCUGAUUUACAGGUCCGUCAAGUUCUCUUCCUUCUGAUUUCUUACACAUAUCUGCAAGCAAAUAUUUCUUCAAAACAUAAGAAUAAUAUCGUAUGUAAACAAAGAAUAAUUCAAAAUGUAAAUUUGUUAGAAGUUAAACAUCCUUUUAGAAAGCAGGUGAUUUAUUCAUUUUAUCAUUAGUUCCAAACCUGAUGUUAAGAUGCAGAAAGCAAAAAGAUAUAUCAUUAUAAGAGCAGACAUCUUGU